ensembl:snRNA U12 U12 minor spliceosomal RNA
GUGCCUUAAAUUUAAAAGUAAGGAAAAUAAUGAUUUGGGGUGACACCUGAACGCUUACUGUUAAUGUGAGAUGAAAUUUUGAGCUGGUAGUUUGCCCUAAGGUAACCUGCCCACUUUGCAGGAAGCCUAGGAGUGGUGGUCUGCCUG